rnacentral:lncRNA from 1 species
CGCUCACUCCAUGCAGGGAGUUGCUGAGCUCACUCGUGGUCCUGUCCCCUCCGGUACCCCGGGCUGACUGUCCCCUGCCCAGGUGGUGGCAGAGGGAUCCCUGGAGCCUAGGCGCAGCAGCAGGUGCAAGACGAAGUGUGGCCGCCAGAGAGCAGCAGUGACCGCCCGCGGAAACCCAUAGACAACAGCCGAUCUGGAAGGAGGCCAGGUUCUUAGGUGGGCACCCUCUCCUGUCGCUGGAUGGAGGAUCUUCUAGGUCAAGGGCUCCAUCGAUAAAUAAAUACACAUCCAACUCAUCUGUUCCUUUUUUGCAACAUGUUUAUUGAGAAGCAACUGCGUUCCUGCCUGCCCAGAGCUCGAAGUGUUAGGGGCACCAGUCUGAUGGAGAUCCGAACAGUGUAGGACCACAGCCCGGCAAAGGGGCACUCAGCGUGGGUUUGGGAUUAAGUGAGAACCACUUACCUUUGCAGCUAGCCUCGAGCCCUGCACCCAGGACCUGAAGCUCAGGGAGGGAGGGAGGCUGUCCAACCGGCAAGGGGCCUGGGCAGAACUUCCUGAGAAGGCUCAAGAAGCCUGGUUCACCACAAUGGUCUGUGGGUGGGUGCCUGCCUUUCCUCAACAUCCUUGGACUGCCAGGUGGCACAUGCCUGUAAACCCAGCACUCAGGAGGCUGAGACAGGAGGACUACCAUGGAGUUCCAGGCCAACCUGGGGUACAUGGUUCAAGGCCAGCCUGAACUACAUAGCAAGACUGUCAACUUCAAAGGAAAAAAAGCCCCCAGACCUCAGUCUAUUUUGUCCACCUGAGAAAUGGGGCUAGGUGCUCUACUAUCUGUGACAACAAGCUGCAGAGAACAAGCAAAAGCACAGCCCUGCCUGGGAGCAGGCAGAACAGCUGCAACUGCCCCACCCACCCUGCCUGCCCGGCCAGGAGUCUGGCAGAGUCCCAGUCCCCUCUGGCCUCAGUGUUUGAUAUGGACCCAGCUCUCAUGGUGAUGGUGAGGCUGAAUCUGUAGCUAAAAAUACCCAGGAGCCCAGCCAGCUGCUCAGUGCUUCCUUGGAGGCCUCGUGGCUGGCACAGGAGCCAGACACACCUGCCCUCCCCAGGCUGCUUCCAAGUGGCAAGGUGUCCCGGGACCCUCACCACCCUCUUGCUCACAAUGGGGUCCUGGAGACAGCGAGCUGGUUCCUGCCACAAGAUCUGCUGGGCCCCAGGAAGGUCGGGGAGAUACCAGGUAGCUUUUGUGGGGCGAGCUCAUGUGUGAUUACCCUGCCACAGGGAGGCCAACGGGGACUCUGAGCCUGGAGAGAAAUGGGCAAAGUCCAGCUACCACAAGCCAGGUGGGGGCUGAUGACGCCCACUUCCGGGGCGUUGGAAACCAUAAAUCAAUUAUUUAACACCCGGCUGGUGAGAGAUAAAAACCCCAGGCCCAGGAAGGAGCCUGGACACCCAAGGGCCCCGAGGGAGGAAAUGGCGACCAGGCCACUUAUCUGCCAAGGUACCUGGCACCUGGCCGCAGGUCUCUGCAAGCCCCAGCGGCCACCAGCACUGGAGGGCAGUGACUUUCCACAGCACAAAGCACUGCCCGCACCCAGCCGCUCGCCACCUGCGGUCACAGGUACUGGGGCUGACGCAGAAGUGGAAGCCAGGAGUUCGGGCAACAAGGCAGGAUCCUAUCUUUUCAACACUUUGGAACGGCUCACAAGGUUACACCCAGUUCUCUGCUCCAGUCCCGCGGGCAGGGGUUGCUGGGGGGUCACAGGCAGCUGGAGAACGCACAGGGUAGGUGACUCCACAACGUUUGGACGCCUCUCUCCUUGGUCCGAGCAGCGGCAGCCAUCUCCACCCCCAGGGUCCUAAAUAAAGGUCAGAUUCCACGCUCAGGCUCCCACUGGAGAUGCCCGGAAGGGGCGGGGACACAGGCGGCUCUUAGUAAGGCCGCGCAGGCCACCCCCCAGGCCAGUCGGCCGCCCUUCCGCCGGCGUGGCCCUCUCUCUGGAGGCCACAGCAGCCCCGCCCCAGGAUCGGGGUGGCGGUGUACGCCCCCGCUCGGGGGGGCGGAGGAGGAGGAACAGAAGGACAGAGCGCCCCGCCCUACCGGGCUCCAGGACGCCGGGGAUGCUGGGGGAGGGGAGGCGACGGUCACGGGGUCGGAAGCAGGUACGAGGCUUCCAGUAGGGCCCGGACGCCUCUCCUUUCCCAAGACCCCGAUUCACACCCAGAGCCCAGUGCGGCGCUCAACCGCUCGCUCUGGUCCGUCCCAGGGCCUCGCAGAUUUCGCUGGGAGAGGAAGACAAACCAAUCUGAGCCGAGAGCGCGCGGCGGGGAGGUGAAGACCCCUCGGGGCUCCGUCCGGAGCAGCGGGAGCCCCAGGCGGUCCGGGGAGUUCGGUGAAGUCAAACCGGGAAGGGGAAGCGGAGGUUCCAGGGCCUCAGUAAUAGGACCUGGCUCGCUCUCCUCCCUCCCAGGGCUGGGAGAAGCGGGAUGAGCCCUUUCUUUAGCAGAGGACAUUGGUCACUGAAGACCCAGCUGAGAGCCAACGACAGCACGCAGGCUACUUCCAACCCCGCAGCUCCGGGGCCGGGGUGCCAGCAGACGGCGGGCCCAGGGCCAGGGGAGCCCAAAAUAACCCAGACAGCUUCGGCCGGAAGGUGCCACGAGCCCGGGCUCCGGGUGAAGACACCUGGAGCUUGGGUGCUAGUGGUGGCCUCGCGUGGCUGAUCCCAAAUCAGGC